CGGGAAUUAGCCACUGGAGAUCUUGGGGGCGAGGUCACCUGGGGGGUGGGGUCUGACGGAGGCGGUGGCGCAGGGGGAAGAGGGUCUCCUCGGGAGUCCGAGUUUCCACCUGGACGGCACGAGUGGACGGAAAGUCUCAGAUGGAACCAUCGGCCGAGAGACUCUUAUCUUCAGAUCUGGAAGGCUCUCCCCAUUGCGACGAUUUUAUUUAUUUAUUUGAGAGGGAGAAGCAGACUCCCCGCUGAGCAGAGAGCCCGAUGCGGGACUCAAUUCCAGGACCCUGGGAUCACGACCCGAGCCGAAGGCAGACACUGAACCGACUGAGCCACCCGGGAGCCCUCAUAUACACUUCUAAGGUAUAUAUUUAGAUGACAUUUAUAUGAUUUAUAUUUAUAUAUGUGUAUAUUUAUAUGCUAUAUAUAAGAUAUAUAAAUAUAUAAAAUACAUUCUAUAUUAAAUAUAAUACAUCAGUGUUUAUUCAUUCAUUCAUGUAUGUUAUGUAUAAAUAUAUGUAUUUAUGAAAUUCUUAUAAUGACUCCAUGAAGUAAAUACUAUUUUUAUUAUUUCAAGUUUACAUAAGAGGUAUCUAAGGCCCAGAGGGGUUAAGUAACUUCUCUAAGGUGACACAGCUACAAUGAAUAGGAGUCGGAGUU